GAAACGGCCAAAUAAGGCACAAUGUUAUCUGGUGUGAACUAAUCAGAGUGGGACAUGACAGCACGGUUAUCUAGGUAAAAUGUAUAUAAGCUGUGUUUAGUAGUGAAUAAACGCCAUUUGCCUCACUUACUCCUGGGGUCUGGGUGAGCAUCUGGCCCCGACCUGGUAAAGGGUCGGUUUCGCCCAGCAGUAAGCCCUACAUGUGGACAGAGGACGAACACCGGACGAGCGAACGGAGACUACACGCAACAAGUGGUGACCCCGACGUGAUCUGUCUGCUGAGGGUGGCUGCCCGGCGUGCCCGUGACGCGGAGAAGAGCCUGUGAGGUGGCGGCAGGUCGCGCACGGAAGACGUACUGCGGUUAAGAGCCUGCGAGGUGGCGGCAGGUCGCAUGCGUAACAAUGGACCAAGUCAUUAAGGUACUUGUGCAGUUUUGUAAGGACUACUGUGGAAAAUCUGCUCCUUCCCGGAAGGAGAUCGCGGCAGUUUUGUCGCUGUUAAAUGAGCUGGGGGAGCUGGACUCUCCCCGCUACGUUUUGGAUUCGAGUAGGUGGGACUUGCUCACCUCGGUGCUAUGCCAGCGCGCCAUGGCCAGUCAGAAGGCUACGGAACUUAAAACGUGGGGACUGAUAUUAGGAGCCCUUAAAGCGGCCAGAGUUGAGGGAAAGUUAUUGGUGGAGGCUCGAUACCUUUUGGGUCUCAGCGGAGGAGGUGAGACACAGGACCCGGUCGGGUCCGAUGGGGGUUCGGGAGCAGUUUCUUGCAGGGGCCGAGAGGAGACGGAGCCGCCAAUGACCGUUGGCGGGAUGGCGCCGGCUGAGCCGACCGCGCUCAGUUCAAAAGAAGACAAACAACAAGAGAGUGAAAGUUCGUUGUCUCGUCCCCCUCCCCCGUAUCCACACCCCUCAGGCGGAACGUUGUAUCCUUUAUCAGAAUUACGUCAGUGUUACCUGACUCAAGGGGGCGGAGGAAGCUGUGAUCUACACGGGCAGGAUCAACUUAGUGCCCACAUGGGGAGGGACCAGACAAAAGGUCCGUCCAAUGCGGACAGGGGGCAUAGCCUACCGUCUCUGGUCACUCCCAGGGGCGGUAGUGCGAGUGAUAGUGUAGAGGAGAAAGAAGGGACUGGCUUUGAGUGCAGGGGGAGGGAUCAAAUGACGGACUGGAAUCGGAUUAGAUCGGAGGCUUUGGGGAAGGGUAUAGUUCCAGAGGCAUUCCGGGUGAUUGUGAGUGAUCAUGGUCCCGAAUGGGUGCCGCCUGACCCCGGGGGUG
rnacentral:lncRNA from 1 species